CGCUUCAUUAGUCCCCUUUCACACCCCUGUGCACCUUUGAUAGAUUCGCUGGAAAGACGGUCGCCUCACGGUGACUUGAACUCCGGUGGGUCUAUAACCAUUACACACACAAACGUAUGUCUACGAAUGUCAUUUAUAUGGGCCAUGCUGCCUAUAAAAACCUAAUACAACUUUCAACAACGGAUCUCUUGGCUCUCGCAUCGAUGAAGAACGCAGCGAAAUGCGAUAAGUAAUGUGAAUUGCAGAAUUCAGUGAAUCAUCGAAUCUUUGAACGCACCUUGCGCCCCUUGGUAUUCCGAGGGGCAUGCCUGUUUGAGUGUCAUUAAAUUCUCAAACCUACCUUUUGCUUUGCUGUAAAUCGUAGUGUUUGGAUUGUUGGGGGUUGCUGGCUUGUCACCGAGUCGGCUCCUCUUAAAUGCAUUAGCGGGACUUUGUUGUUGCCUCUGCUACAUGGUGUGAUAAUUAUUUACGCCAGGCGGUACGCAAUGAUAUUUAUUAAAGAGGGGG
rnacentral:rRNA from 1 species